UACGGAGGGUGCAAGCGUUGCUCGGAAUCACUGGGCGUAAAGCGACCGCAGGCGGCCUGACAAGUCGGAUGUGAAAGCCCUGGGCUCAACUCAGGAAUUGCAUUCGAAACUGGCAGGCUUGAGGACGGUAGAGGCGUGUGGAAUUCCGGGUGUAGUGGUGAAAUGCGUAGAGAUCCGGAGGAACACCAGUGGCGAAGGCGACACGCUGGGCCGUACCUGACACUGAUGCGCGACAGCAUGGGGAGCAAACGAGGAU
rnacentral:rRNA from 1 species